UACCAGCACCCCGAGUGGUCGGGACGAUUAUUGGGCCUAAAGCAUCCGUAGCCGGUCCUACACGUCUUCCGUUAAAUCCACCUGCUUAACAGAUGGGCUGCGGAAGAUACUAUAGGGCUAGGAGGCGGGAGAGGCAAGCGGUACUCAGUGGGUAGGGGUAAAAUCCUCUGAUCCAUUGAAGACCACCAGUGGCGAAGGCGGCUUGCCAGAACGCGCUCGACGGUGAGGGAUGAAAGCUGGGGGAGCAAACCGG
rnacentral:rRNA from 1 species